UACGUAGGUGGCAAGCGUUACUCGGAAUCACUAGGCGUAAAGCGCAAGCAGGCGGUUCGGUAAGUCUUUUGUGAAAGCUCCCGGCUCAACUGGGAGAGGUCAAGGGAAACUACCGGGCUAGAGUGUGGUAGAGGAAGCUGGAAUUCCCGGUGUAGCGGUGAAAUGCGUAGAUAUCGGGAGGAAUACCUAUGGCGAAGGCAGGCUUCUGGGCCAUCACUGACGCUGAGUUGCGAAAGCUAGGGGAGCAAACAGG
rnacentral:rRNA from 1 species